GUCGAACGCGAAAGUCCCGCAAGGGAUGAGUAGAGUGGCAAACGGGUGAGUAACACGUGGGUGACCUGCCUUCGAGCGGGGGAUAACGCCCCGAAAGGGACGCUAAUACCGCAUGACAUCCUGCCUUUGAAGAGGUGGAGAUCAAAGCUGGGGAUCGCAAGACCUAGCACUUGAAGAGGGGCCCGCGCCUGAUUAGCUAGUUGGUGGGGUAACGGCUCACCAAGGCAACGAUCAGUAUCCGGCCUGAGAGGGCGGACGGACACACUGGGACUGAGACACGGCCCAGACUCCUACGGGAGGCAGCAGUGGGGAAUUGUUCGCAAUGGGCGCAAGCCUGACGACGCAACGCCGCGUGGAGGAUGAAGACCUUCGGGUCGUAAACUCCUUUCGAUCGAGACGAAUGGCUUCCGGGUGAACAAUCCGGGAGAAUGACGGUACCGAGAGAAGAAGCCCCGGCUAACUCCGUGCCAGCAGCCGCGGUAAUACGGGGGGGGCAAGCGUUGUUCGGAAUUACUGGGCGUAAAGGGCUCGUAGGCGGCCAACUAAGUCAGACGUGAAAUCCCUCGGCUUAACCGGGGAACUGCAUCUGAUACUGGAUGGCUUGAGAUUGGGAGAGGGAUGCGGAAUUCCAGGUGUAGCGGUGAAAUGCGUAGAUAUCUGGAGGAACACCGGUGGCGAAGGCGGCAUCCUGGACCAACACUGACGCUGAGGAGCGAA
rnacentral:rRNA from 1 species